GAGUCGUAACAAGGUUUCCGUAGGUGAACCUGCGGAAGGAUCAUUAGAGAACUGUACCAAAACAAUAUGGACAAUCCAUCCAUAUUAUCCCACCUUGUGUGCAUCCAUUGAAAUCAUGCUUUGGGAGGUCCCUCUUAAAAAAUGGAGAGGGAUUUUUAAAUGAAGAACGCAG
rnacentral:misc_RNA from 1 species